GAGUGGCGGACGGGUGAGUAAUGCUUGGGAACUUGCCUUUGCGAGGGGGAUAACAGUUGGAAACGACUGCUAAUACCGCAUAAUGUCUUCGGACCAAACGGGGCUUCGGCUCCGGCGCAAAGAGAGGCCCAAGUGAGAUUAGCUAGUUGGUAAGGUAACGGCUUACCAAGGCGACGAUCUCUAGCUGUUCUGAGAGGAAGAUCAGCCACACUGGGACUGAGACACGGCCCAGACUCCUACGGGAGGCAGCAGUGGGGAAUAUUGCACAAUGGGGGAAACCCUGAUGCAGCCAUGCCGCGUGUGUGAAGAAGGCCUUCGGGUUGUAAAGCACUUUCAGUUGUGAGGAAAAGUUAGUAGUUAAUACCUGCUAGCCGUGACGUUAACAACAGAAGAAGCACCGGCUAACUCCGUGCCAGCAGCCGCGGUAAUACGGAGGGUGCGAGCGUUAAUCGGAAUUACUGGGCGUAAAGCGCACGCAGGCGGUUUGUUAAGCUAGAUGUGAAAGCCCCGGGCUCAACCUGGGAUGGUCAUUUAGAACUGGCAGACUAGAGUCUUGGAGAGGGGAGUGGAAUUCCAGGUGUAGCGGUGAAAUGCGUAGAUAUCUGGAGGAACAUCAGUGGCGAAAGGCGACUCCCUGGCCAAAGACUGACGCUCAUGUGCGAAAGUGUGGGUAGCGAACAGGAUUAGAUACCC
rnacentral:rRNA from 2 species